UUCUGCCACCUCUUCCUUGACAUCAUGGGAAGUUUCAUCCGUCAUGGUAGUAACUCAAUUACUCGGCGAACAGAGCAAACAGUCGGGGAAACACGACGGCUGCCGGAAGCUGGAGGCGAAGCCUAAAGGACUGUCGGGGAUAAGAAAGCAGGAGUCAAGGAGGGUUUUCUGGUUUAGGACUUGAGGCGGCGUGUAAUAGCGUAUGAGACGAAAGGAAAUGAUCCCAAGGAAGAGGCAGCAAAGUGGGAAUCAAAGGCUCAGUUCGGACCGGUGAAGGAAGGGUAAUCAAUAGAAGGUUAAUAAAGGAUAAAAAGG
rnacentral:misc_RNA from 1 species